GCUGGGUGUGGUGGCGCAUACUUGUAAUCCCAGCAGCUUGAGAGGCUGAGACAAGAGGAUCACAAGUUCAAAGCCAGCCUCAGAAAAAGGGAGGCGCUUAGCAGUUCAGUGAGACCCUGUCUCUA
rnacentral:sRNA from 1 species